rnacentral:rRNA from 1 species
CAGUAGCCGCGGGAAUACGAAGGGUGCAAGCGUUAAUCGGAAUUACUGGGCGUAAAGCGUGCGUAGGCGGUGAGUUAAGUCUGCUGUGAAAUCCCCGGGCUCAACCUGGGAAUGGCAGUGGAUACUGGCUCGCUAGAGUGUGUCAGAGGAUGGCGGAAUUCCCGGUGUAGCGGUGAAAUGCGUAGAGAUCGGGAGGAACAUCAGUGGCGAAGGCGGCCAUCUGGGACAACACUGACGCUGAGACACGAAAGCGUGGGGAGCAAACAGGAUUAGAUACCCGCGUAGUCCCUGUCUCUUAUAC